rnacentral:tRNA from 1 species
UGGGCUGUGGCUCAGUGGUGGAGCGCUUGUCUAGCAUGUGUGAGGGACUGGGUUCGAUUCUCAGCACCACAU